rnacentral:rRNA from 1 species
AGUGAACGCUGGCGGUAGGCCUAACACAUGCAAGUCGAAUGGCAGCACAGUAAGAGCUUGCUCUUACGGGUGGCGAGUGGCGGACGGGUGAGGAAUACAUCGGAAUCUACUUUUUCGUGGGGGAUAACGUAGGGAAACUUACGCUAACACCGCAUACGACCUACGGGUGAAAGCAGGGGAUCUUCGGACCUUGCGCGAUUGAAUGAGCCGAUGUCGGAUUAGCUAGUUGGCGGGGUAAAGGCCCACCAAGGCGACGAUCCGUAGCUGGUCUGAGAGGAUGAUCAGCCACACUGGAACUGAGACACGGUCCAGACUCCUACGGGAGGCAGCAGUGGGGAAUAUUGGACAAUGGGCGCAAGCCUGAUCCAGCCAUACUGCGUGGGUGAAGAAGGCCUUCGGGUUGUAAAGCCCUUUUGUUGGGAAAGAAAAGCAGCAGGUUAAUACCCCGCUGUUCUGACGGUACCCAAAGAAUAAGCACCGGCUAACUUCGUG